rfam:Schistosoma curassoni strain Dakar, Senegal genome assembly, scaffold: SCTD_scaffold0007441
AUCCUUGCUGACGAGUCCCAGAUAGAACAAAAUGCGCGUCCUGGAU